GUAGGUGAACCUGCGGAAGGAUCAUUAUUGAAUAAAUUUGGUUGGGUUGCUGCUGGCUUUUCGGAGCAUGUGCACGCCUAGCACAUCUUUACCACCUGUGCACCUUUUGUAGACUUGGACAACUCUCAAGGUAACUCGGAUUGAGGAUCUGCCGUGCGUAAUAGCCAGCUUUCCUUGAGUUCUGGUCUACGAUUUUAUAUACCCCAUAAGAAUGUAACAGAAUGUUUUUAUUGGCCUUUGUGCCUUUAAU
rnacentral:misc_RNA from 1 species